AAAAGCAGUAAGAAGACUCGUCUGGCUGAACUGUGUAGUGUGUGGACAGGAAUAAAUUGCUCUAAGUCUGUGGAGGUAUGGAGCAGCCAGGUUGUCAAGACUUCAGAGGCCAGAGGGGUUAACAUUUGAUCUGGAGGUUGCUGAAGGAGAGAAAGACUGAGAAGAAGCCAACGUGUUGGGUUUCAAUCAUGUCUCUAUCCCAGCUUCCCACACUAGAGACUUUGAGGAAUUUUCCCUUGAGGCAAUGAGGGUUAAGUGACUUGCCCAGGAUCACACAGCUAGU